CCCUUAGAUGUUCUGGGCCGCACGCGCGCUACACUGAUGCAUUCAACAAGCCUAGCCUUGACCGAGAGGUCCGGGUAAUCUUUGAAACUGCAUCGUGAUGGGGCUAGAUUAUUGCAAUUAUUAAUCUUCAACGAGGAAUGCCUAGUAAGCGCGAGUCAUCAGCUCGCGCUGAUUACGUCCCUGCCCUUUGUACACACCGCCCGUCGCUGCAACUGAUUGGGUGACCUGGUGAACAUCUUGGACCGGCUUGCCCAUUUUUGGACGAGUUGGAAAAGGACGUAAAUCAGGUACAUCUAGAAAUUGCAAAAGUCGUAACA
rnacentral:rRNA from 1 species